rnacentral:rRNA from 1 species
AUUGAACGCUAGCGGCAUGCUUUACACAUGCAAGUCGAACGAGUGGCGGACGGGUGAGUAAUAUAUCGGAACGUGCCCAGUAGCGGGGGAUAAAUAUUGGAAAGAGUGGCUAAUAUCGCAUACCAUUGGAGCUGCCGAUAUCGGAUUCGCUAGUUGGUGGGGUAAAGGAUCACCAAGGCGACGAUCCGAAGCUGGUCUGAGAGGACGACCAGCCACACGGAGACUAAGAGACGGCCCAGACUCCUACGGGAGGCAGCCGUGAGGAAUGUUGGACAGUUGGCGAAACCCUGAUCCAGCCAUCCGGCGUGUAUGAGAAGGCCUUCGGGUUGUAAAGUACUAUUGGCAGAGAAGCGGUACCUGCAGAAUAAGCACCGGCUAACUCCGUGCCAGCAGCCGCGGUAAUAC